GAUGAACGCUGGCGGCGUGCCUAAUACAUGCAAGUCGAGCGAACGGACGAGAAGCUUGCUUCUCUGAUGUUAGCGGCGGACGGGCGAGUAACACGUGGAUAACCUACCUAUAAGACUGGGAUAACUUCGGGAAACCGGAGCUAAUACCGGAUAAUAUUUUGAACCGCAUGGUUCAAAAGUAAAAGACGGUCUUGCUGUCACUUAUAGAUGGAUCCGCGCUGCAUUAGCUAGUUGGUAAGGUAACGGCUUACCAAGGCAACGAUGCAUAGCCGACCUGAGAGGGUGAUCGGCCACACUGGAACUGAGACACGGUCCAGACUCCUACGGGAGGCAGCAGUAGGGAAUCUUCCGCAAUGGGCGAAAGCCUGACGGAGCAACGCCGCGUGAGCGAUGAAGGUCUUCGGAUCGUAAAACUCUGUUAUUAGGGAAGAACAUAUGUGUAAGUAACUGUGCACAUCUUGACGGUACCUAAUCAGAAAGCCACGGCUAACUACGUG
rnacentral:rRNA from 1 species